rnacentral:misc_RNA from 1 species
CAUCGUGCAUACACAUGCCCCCAUUUAUGAAUUCUAAUUGACCAGAGUUGACAAGCUCCUUGACUUUAGCCUUCAUUGCUUCACUUUGCUGUCUCCACCAUCUCUGGANNAUCUCAACAUAGAUGAACUUGCGAUUCUUAUCUUCGAACAAAGCAGACAUUACUGAGUCCAAUACAUUCUGCACACAGGCUCCCCGAAUCGAAUUGUUGCCACCAAAAUAGUACUGAUCAACAGUCUUCAACCAUCCAACAUCAUCAUGAGAGUGAGGCACCAAAUGAACGUUGACUUUGCCAGGGACUAUUCUCCCAGUGGUGUUGUAAUCUAUGUACUGAGAUUCCACGCAGAAAAUCCCAGCCAAAUAGAUUGUUAAAUAGUAGUAGAAAGCAAUAAUCGCCAUGGUUAUAGCAGGAUGGAACUUGAGAGUGGAGAGAGGGAAGUGAUGAUCAUAUGUUGAUGAACUAUGAAAUUGGCAAGUGGGU